UGGCGUGUAGCAUUGUGGUGAUGCAACUGACUUUGUGUGAGAUAAGAUGCAGGUUCGACUCCUGCCACGCCAA
rnacentral:tRNA from 3 species